AUAUUUCUCUUUCUUAGAAUGGGUGAAGAGAAUUACAAGACGAGCCUCUAAUCUUCAAUACUCUAAUCGUUGAUGUUACUGGUAUCGUACUUAUAUUGAAACGUCACUAUGUCUGAACAGGUGCGAUCCAACUAUAUUUAUUUGUGAGAGAGAUGAUUCUGUUUGUCUACUUAUUCUUUCUUGCUAUUUUCAUGUUUCUACCACAUUUUUGCCCUUCUCAUUCUUAUAUUCAUUCAAGAUGCCCUUUAAAAUUCCAGAUUUCCAAGAUUAGAUAACUCAAAAGACAAGACAUGACUUGUUUCACAUAAAUAAAACCAGCAAUCCAUCGAUAAAGAAUUACAUUAGCAAUUCGAAUACUUACUCCGCUCCAAUAAUCCAAUAGACAUGCAAAUUAUUGUCCUUGAAGCUUGAUGGCGUUUUCAAUCAGCACACGUGGGUUGUGGGACCUAAUGUUUUUACAAUAAAAAGAAGAGAAUCCACUCUUCCUUGUUUUUCUCCUUUGGUUUUCCUUUUUCUACCCUAGUCCAUAUUAUAUCAAGUCUUGUCCAACCUCUGUUGUUUACCACACUCUUGCCCUUCUCAUUCUUAUAUUCAUUCGUUCUUGAUGCCCUCUCAUAUUCCAGCUUCCCAAGAUUAGAUAACUCAAAAGACUAGACAUUGACUUGUUUCACAUAAAUAAAACCAGCAAUCUGUCAUGAGCAGUAUUGUUGGGAAACCUUGUGAAAAAUUAGCAACUCGUUUCAUCGAUAAAGAAUUACAUUAGUGUAUGGAUCAAAAGGAAUCGUAAGAGGUCGACUAAGUCGUGGUUGUACCCAUAGGGUGUAAUAACAAUGAACAUCUUGGCUACUGUCAAGAUCGAGCCAUCUCAAAGCUCGUACGACAAAGUAAAUGUCGUGAUACUCGAGGGAGGCGAUGUGAAGUACAAGCAGGGGCGAAGGCAUUCUGGUUAAGGACCGUUGGACAAAAGGAAUACUGAGUAUAUACAGGAGAUAAGAAGAUAAGAAGAGGGGGCUUCUCUUCUAGAGAAUGGGGAGAUAGAGAAAAUCAAGAAAAGGCUUAGAUAGCAAAUAUAAAUUUCUGUAAUCGUGAUUAUCAAAUCAAGGAAGAUGGAUCUCAUUAUUCUUAUGGCGUUUCUUCUUUUCCGCCUUUAUCACCGUAUUAUAGUAUAGUAUGUCAAAAAUGUAAGCUUAUCGUCUAUAUAUGAUAUCUUAUAUCAUACUAUCAAAUUGAUAAACUUGAUUAUUACUUAUUCUCGUAUUUGACGUGC
rnacentral:lncRNA from 1 species